AGCACGCGGGAGGCGAGGGCGAUAAUAAAAUUGGCGCGCAAAAUACAAUCAGCUCAUUUUCCUCCAUUCUCAUUCCUUUCUGCCCUCCCAGAUUCCCCCAAAUUGUGCCCAAAAUCCCCAAAUCAAAACCCUAAAUUUUUCGCCCUAAUUCACUAAAAGCAGAAUUCUCUCGGAAAUAACUUGGCAAAUCAGUUUUUACCAGUUUUAUUCCAGCAAGGAGCGGAGGGGGUCGGGUUAUUUCAUUCUGGUGAUGAUGCGAAUGAGGUUGAAGCUGGUGCAAAAGUAGAGUUGCCAUUUUGUCUAGCUCGAGAUUUACAUGUGAGAGGAGUGGUCGCCAUUGACGUUCCACCAUACUUCAGAAAAGUGUAAAACUUAUCAGACUACUAGUUGAUAUCUUCUUUCUUCUUGUUGGUUUUGUUCUGUGGACAAAUUCCUCCGAUUUUUGUCAAGGGAAGUGCUACAGUGUAAUGGUAUUUUAGUAGGUCUUCACUAAAAUGUGGUUCAUGAUCCAUACUUUAGAAUCUGGCUUGCUCUACAUGUUCUCAUACUUCAUGAAGACAAUGCAACAAAUCACAAUAACUUUUAUUGCAUUUAACUGCAGACUUAGCUAAUGAAUAGUAUUUGAUAUAAUGAUGUGAUGGAUGAUGUUUUCCUUCAUUUUCUGUAGAUGCCAUCUUAUUUAGUCUCUCAAGCAGCUGGUUUGUUAAAAAGGUCGAUUUUAUUUACCUGAUGAUUUUACAGGAUGAGUGGCUUGAAUCAAAUAAUUGCAUGUUGUGCUUUUUGGAAUCACUUGAAGUUCUCCAAAUGCGUUGUGACUUCUGGAAUGCCUUUAGUUGUCUGUGAAAGUUAUAUAAGCUCGAUUUUGGUCAAUUUAUAUCAUUUGAGGUUUCCAUCAGUUCUAGGACACGCAAGGAAAUUGAAGCUGAUGCUGCACAUGUGGAUCUAAGAAGUCGAAGCCAAUAUUUCUAUGAACUAGGACUAAAAAUAGUACCACUGGCUGGUGACAAAAGCAUUGGACCUUUCCUCCUAGUUGCAUUUCAGACCAGAUAUAAGGAGGUUCUUGUAAAGGCACAUACUGCUGCAUCUGCAGUGGCUUCCAAGCACUUGACACUUCUAACAAAUGAAGAGGUUAAAUUAUGCGAAGCUGGUCAAUCAUCGACAGCAGCAUUCAAGAAGUGGCGGAUGGGAGCGCCAAGAUUGCAAAAAGCUCCUGUUCUUGGUAGGAAGAGGAAACCAAUUGAAUAGGUGCUGUUUGUUAUAUUGUGUAAUGGAUGGAUGUCAUUACACGAAUGCCACUGUAGGUAAGAGAUUAAUGAGAAUAUUCAAUUAUGUUCUUAAGUAGGUCAGGAAUCUGGAGAAUAAUUUUGAUGCUAGCUUAUGCAGUUUUAUUUAAUGCAACAAAUUAUUCUAGGUAUCAGAAAAUUUAAAGACAAUCUUCAAUACUGUUCGUAGUUCCUUAUUGCCUCCCAUUUUCUUUCUUGUUUGCCACUAAGGUUGUUACUUUGAAAUAUGCCUAAAAGUGCUGUACAAGUACUGAUAAUAUAGCCAUUCUGACAGAGUAUAAUGUGCA